GAAUGCUGACAUAAGUAACGAUAAAGCGGGUGAAAAGCCCGCUCGCCGGAAGACCAAGGGUUCCUGUCCAACGUUAAUCGGGGCAGGGUGAGUCGACCCCUAAGGCGAGGCCGAAAGGCGUAGUCGAUGGGAAACGGGUUAAUAUUCCCGUACUUGGUGUUACUGCGAAGGGGGGACGGAGAAGGCUAUGUUGGCCGGGCGACGGUUGUCCCGGUUUAAGCGUGUAGGUGUGUGUUCCAGGUAAAUCCGGUUCACUUUAACACUGAGGCGUGACGACGAGGCACUACGGUGCUGAAGCAACAAAUGCCCUGCUUCCAGGAAAAGCCUCUAAGCAUCAGGUAACAUCAAAUCGUACCCCAAACCGACACAGGUGGUCAGGUAGAGAAUACCAAGGCGCUUGAGAGAACUCGGGUGAAGGAACUAGGCAAAAUGGUGCCGUAACU
rnacentral:rRNA from 24 species